rnacentral:rRNA from 1 species
GAUGAACGCUGGCGGCGUGCCUAAUACAUGCAAGUCGAGCGAACAGACGAGGAGCUUGCUCCUCUGACGUUAGCGGCGGACGGGUGAGUAACACGUGGAUAACCUACCUAUAAGACUGGGAUAACUUCGGGAAACCGGAGCUAAUACCGGAUAAUAUAUUGAACCGCAUGGUUCAAUAGUGAAAGACGGUUUUGCUGUCACUUAUAGAUGGAUCCGCGCCGCAUUAGCUAGUUGGUAAGGUAACGGCUUACCAAGGCGACGAUGCGUAGCCGACCUGAGAGGAUGAUCGGCCACACCGAGACGGAGACACGGCCCGGACACCUACGGGAGGCAGCAGUGGGGAAUAUUGGACAAUGGGCGAAAGCCAGAUCCAGCAAUGCCGCGUGAAGGAUGAAGGCCUUAGAGUUGUAAAGCUCAUGUACCCCGGAAGAUAAGGACGGUACCGGGAGAAUAAGCCCCGGCUAACUCCGUG